UACGGGGGGGGCAAGCGUUGUUCGGAAUUACUGGGCGUAAAGGGCUCGUAGGCGGCCAACUAAGUCAGACGUGAAAUCCCUCGGCUUAACCGGGGAACUGCAUCUGAUACUGGAUGGCUUGAAUUCGGGAGAGGGAUGCAGAAUUCCAGGUGUAGCGGUGAAAUGCGUAGAUAUCUGGAGGAAUACCGGUGGCGAAGGCGGCAUCCUGGACCGACAUUGACGCUGAGGAGCGAAAGCUAGGGGAGCAAACGGGAU
rnacentral:rRNA from 1 species